CCUGAUCCCAUUCCGAACUCAGAAGUGAAACACAGUAUCGCCGAUGGUAGUUUGGGGUCUCCCCAUGCGAGAGUAGGUCAUUUCCAGGC
rnacentral:rRNA from 1 species